UGCGUAGGUGGCAGUGCAAGUCAGAUGUGAAAGGCCGGGGCUCAACCCCGGGAGCUGCAUUUGAAACUGCAUAGCUGGAGUACAGGAGAGGCAGGCGGAAUUCCUAGUGUAGCGGUGAAAUGCGUAGAUAUUAGGAGGAACACCAGUGGCGAAGGCGGCCUGCUGGACUGUUACUGACACUGAGGCACGAAAGCGUGGGGAGCAAACA
rnacentral:rRNA from 1 species